GGCUGCUACUGCACUCUGUAAGUGGGAACUGGGAAGCGAUCCGUUUGUCUCUCUCCCCCAUUCUCCAAUCCCCACGACGAGAUCCAUCCACCCUAGAGGCCAAGAAGAGAAGGGAGGAGAGAGAGAGGCCGGCGGCGGCGGCGGAGCAGGCGAUCGGAGAUGGUGCGGAAGGCCAAGGUCGAGUUCGACGAGAGGCCGCCGGAUGACUUCGACCCGAAGAACCCGUACGGGGACCCGGUGGCGAUGCUGGAGUACAGGGAGCACCUGGUGCGGGAGAAGUGGAUCCAGAUCGAGACCGCCAAGAUCAUCCGCGACCGCCUCCGCUGGUGCUACCGGAUCGAGGGCGUCAACCACCACCAGAAGUGCCGCCACCUCGUCGACCAGUACCUCGAGUCCACCCGCGGCGUCGGGUGGGGCAAGGACCACCGCCCGGCGGACCUCCACGAGCCCAAGAAGGUGGUCGAGGUCGAGGACUAGCACGGUUGCUUCCGCCGCCAUUCCUGGAAUGGAGAGGUCAUCUUUCCAUUCGAAGUGAAGUAACUUGAACUGCCGCAGCUCCUCUCUUACCUCUGAAGUUGCUGAUAGGCAUUUAAUAAAUGAUGAUGCGAAGCAAACAUUGUUGUGUGGUGUCUGUAUUUUUUUUUGUUAACUUGAAGGAGUUAAGCAAAUCGUUGCUUGGACUUACCUACCUUGUUUCCAGUUUCAUUUAUACAAAUGAUGUUUAGCUGCCCUUGCCUUUGCAUCUUGAGUUUACAACUGUACGAAAGACGGCUCUUGCUGUGCUGUACGAGUUCUUUCUAUUUUGUCCCUGUGCUGCUUUUUUGUAUGAAAUGGG
rnacentral:rRNA from 1 species